GGAUUGUGGCUCAGGGGUAGAGCGCUCACCUAGCACAUGUGAGGCCCUGGGUUUGAUCCUCAGCACCA
rnacentral:tRNA from 1 species